rnacentral:rRNA from 1 species
AUUAACUCAGCAAGAAAUAUUAAACAAUACUAGAAAUAGUAAUUUAAUUAGAGUAUAAAGGUUUGACUAAUUAGGUGCCAGCAGUCGCGGUCAUACCUAGAAAUCAAAUUAUAAUAAUUAGGCUGGCUUAAAAGGAAUUUUUAUAAGUAGGUAAAAUUUUUAUAAAAGAUAAUAUCAAACUCAAUUUGGCCUAAACUCUGAAAAUAAACCAGGAUUAGAUACCCUGUUAUAUAGAGCCAAAAUCCUUAGCUUAAGCACUAAGACUAUAUAGUUAAAACUUAAAUGACAUGGCGGCAGCUUCGAAUUUCAGGGGAACUUACCAGAUAAAUGAUAACCCGCAAGGAAUCCUAUUUUUCCUAAAAACUUGUAUAUCGUCGUCUUCAGAACCCGUCUAAGAUGAGUUCGAAAUGUAAAUUAGUACAAAAAGACAGAUCAAGAUGCAGUCUAUGGAGAAACCUUAAGGUGAGUUACAAUGAUUUUAAUCUUAGAAUUUUAGUGAAAAUCAAAAAGGAAAUCGGACUUGAAAGUAAAAUUUAUAACAGUUAUAAAUUGAAUGUUUUAAAAGCUGUGCACAAAUCGCCCGUCACUCUCGUUGAAAAAGGAGAUAAGUCGUAACAUAGUAAGAGUACUGGAAAGUGCUCUUG